rnacentral:rRNA from 1 species
CAGACUCCUACGGGAGGCAGCAGUGGGGAAUAUUGCACAAUGGGCGAAAGCCUGAUGCAGCGACGCCGCGUGAGGGAUGACGGCCUUCGGGUUGUAAACCUCUUUCAGUAGGGAAGAAGCGAGAGUGACGGUACCUGCAGAAGAAGCGCCGGCUAACUACGUGCCAGCAGCCGCGGUAAUACGUAGGGCGCAAGCGUUGUCCGGAAUUAUUGGGCGUAAAGAGCUUGUAGGUGGCUUGUCGCGUCUGCCGUGAAAACCCGAGGCUCAACCUCGGGCGUGCGGUGGGUACGGGCAGGCUAGAGUGUGGUAGGGGAGACUGGAACUCCUGGUGUAGCGGUGAAAUGCGCAGAUAUCAGGAAGAACACCGAUGGCGAAGGCAGGUCUCUGGGCCAUUACUGACACUGAGAAGCGAAAGCAUGGGUAGCGAACAGGAUUAGAUACCCUGGUAGUCCAUGCCGUAAACGUUGGGCACUAGGUGUGGGGGACAUUCCACGUUUUCCGCGCCGUAGCUAACGCAUUAAGUGCCCCGCCUGGGGAGUACGGCCGCAAGGCUAAAACUCAAAGGAAUUGACGGGGGCCCGCACAAGCGGCGGAGCAUGCUGAUUAAUUCGAUGCAACGCGAAGAACCUUACCAAGGCUUGACAUGGACCGGACGGCUGCAGAAAUGUGGCUUUCUUCGGACUGGUUCACAGGUGGUGCAUGGUUGUCGUCAGCU